GAAGAAUCCUUUAUAGACGACUUAAAUAUGUGACGGGGUAUUGUAAGUGGUAGAGUGGCCUUUCUACCACAAUCCACUAAGAUUCAUCCCUUUGUCGCCUCAAUUU
rfam:Picea glauca, whole genome shotgun sequence.